AAGCUAGGCCAAACACCCCCCUUAAAAGCCUUUGUAGAAUAACUUGAGCCAAUAACCAACAUCAAACUUCUGUUUUGAUUAUUCUCGUAACUUUGGGUUUUCAAUGCUGCAAAUUUGGCUUAAAUUCUGUUGAAAUGAGGAAGCAAAUUAUGGUUUCCAUUGCCCCACUAGUCUCAACCUUCACUCAUAAGUUUGUCCGAAACGCAUCAACAACGUCUUCUUUCUUUCCAUCGCAAUUUGACUCUUACUUCGAACACAAUCCUCGAGACAAAAUUUACACCUACAACAGAGACAUUGAAACCUUAAUGAAAUCUGGGUCAGUUGAUCAUGCACUCCAACUGUUCGACGAAAUGCCCAUGAGAGACAUAAUCACAUAUAACAUAGUUCUUUCGGGGCUUAAACGUAAUGGGCUGUCAAAAGAAGCAUUGUAUGUGUACAAUCAAAUGGUAUCCCAAGGAUUUAUUGAGAGUUCGUCAACGUUUUCGACGGUUUUGGGUGUGUUUAGUCAAGAAGGGUUGUAUCAAGAAGGUUUUCAAGUUCACAACAGGGUGGUUGUUCUUGGUUUGAGUUUGAAUGUGUAUGUGGGAAGUGCAUUGAUUGAUCUUUACAUGAAUAUGGGUCUUGUUGAUCUUGCUUUGAGAUUGUUUAACGAUUUACCGGAAAGGAAUCUUGCUACAUGGAAUCAGUUACUAAAAGGUUUUGGUGAAUUUGGAAUGUCACAAAAGUUGCAAUUGUAUUAUAGGAUGAAAAGAGAAGGUGUUGCACCUAAUCCGCUCACUUUUUGUUAUUUACUUCGUUCGUUUGGGAACGAGAGUGUAGUGGAUCAAGGAAGAGAGCUGCAUUCUUACACGAUUAAAGUUGGAUGGGCCGAAUCGGACGUGUUUGUUUCAAAUGCUUUGGUGGAUUUUUAUAGUGCUUGUGGCAGUAUAACAGAUGCCGAGAAAUCAUUUGAAGUUAUUCCGACAAAUGAUGUGAUUUCUUGGAAUUCGUUAGUUUCUUUGUAUGCAUCGAACGAGAUUGCAAGCGAUGCGUUAAGGAUCUUUUCUAUGAUGCAAGUAUCGGGAAAGAAGCCGUCGAUUCGUUCGUUUGUGGGUUUGUUGAAUUUAUCUAGCAGGAAUGUAAAUAUAAUUAUUGGAAAACAGAUUCAUUGUUUUGUUUUGAAACUAGGGUUUGAUCACGGUAGUUGUUACGUUUGUUCUGCGUUAAUCGAUAUGUACGGAAAAUGCGGUGAAAUAGAAAGUUCCGUGUCGAUAUACGAAAGCGUUCCAAGAAAAACUAUUGAAGUAUGCAAUUCGUUGAUGACAUCAUUUGCACAUUGUGGGAUUGUGGAAGAUGUGAUCGAAUUGUUCGGUUUGAUGGUUGAUGAAGACAUCGGGUUUGAUGAAGUUAGUCUAUCCACUACAGUCAACACACUGUCUAGGUCAACUUACGCUGGGUUGACCAGCUGUAAAUUGUUGCAUCUUUGUGCUGUGAAAUCGGGUUUUGCUCACGAUCUUGCGGUAUCUUGUUCUUUAAUCGAAAGUUAUUCAAGAUUCGGAGAUGUUAAAUCGUCUCGUCAGAUUUUCAACCAGCUUUCUUCACCGAAUGUUAUAUGUUUUACAUCAAUCAUCAGUGCUUAUUCCCGCAACAAAAUGGGAACGGAAUGCUAUAAACUCCUCGAAGUAAUGAUUAACAAGGGUUUGAAACCGGAUAAAGUGACAUUCUCAUGCGUGUUAACAGCUUGCAACCAUUCGGGAAUGGUUCACGAGGGAAAGAUGGUGUUUGAGUCAAUGAAGACCGUACAUGGCGUUGACCCAGAAAGUCAACAUGUAGCUUGCAUGGUUGACCUUCUUGGACACAAAGGUUUACUUGAAGAAGCCGAACGGUUGCUAAAACAAACACAAUUUAAUAACGACUCUGCCAUCUGGAGUUCAUUGUUGCGCCAUUGUAGGGCCCACCAUAAUGAAACAGUAGGAAAAAGAAUUGCGGAAACAGUAAUUAAACUUGAGCCUGAAAACGCUUCAAGUUGGUUACAAGUGUCGAACUUUUAUUCAGAAAUCAGGGAUUUUGAAACCGCUAAACAAAUUAAAGACGUUGCACUAGCAAGAAGAAUGCAAAGAGAUAUGUUUACGCCUUUACGGUUUAAAUAACGCGUCUGAUUAAACGUGGGCCACCGGAAGAGACACUUUUUGGAUAUGUGAGUGUUUUAUGAGUGAAGCAAAAGGUCUCCAGAAAAUAAGUUUGGAAACCGAAGACGAUGAAAAAUGCUCAAGUGAACAUGGUAUCAAGACACUCGUAAAUGUUGAUAGUUUUGGUGCUGUUGGAGAUGGUGUUUCUGAUGACA